AGCCCGGAGGUGCCCGAAGGAGCCCGGAGGAGCCCGAAGGAGCCCGAAGGAGCCCGAAAGACCGGGGCGGGCAGAGAACCGCGGGCGCCAAUCGCCGGGCUCGCCCCGCCCCCUGGCCGGAGACCUGAGGGGAUUGGCUGCCCGCCUCCCGCUGCGCCGCCGACCUCGUCGCCGCGCCACCGCCGGGUUCUCUGUGCCGCACGCGAGUCGUCGGCUUCAUCCCGCGGAGCUGAGCCGGCGCGGCCGCGGUGGCGGCUGCUUUGAGGCGGGUUCGGGGCCCGGCCCCCGCCUGCGAAUGCGGGAGCCCGACCCGGGGCCUGCGGAGUCGGUCUCCGACGUGUGCGGGGCUGCAGCGGCCUGACUUCCAGGCGCAGGUUGAAAACUACAGGCACAAGCCAUGGAAGCUGGAAUACUCUAAUGCUGGUAUUUUAACUGAUUUAUCCCAACUCUGCAGUUUACAACAUACACAUGCCUCUAAUGAGGUCAGAUAUUCUGAUUUCACUUGUAGCAACCAUGUAUCCAGUGCAGGACAGCCCUGGCAGUGAGGGCAGCACAGCAGGUGUUCGAUUUCUCAUCUUGUCAUUUAGUUCUUACAACUUUGUGAAGGUGACGCUGUGCUCUCAUUUUACAGAUGAAGCAACCACAGGUUAGGUACUGACUCAAGCUCCUGUCACAUGUGUAGCCCUGAACACGGAUCCUCAUGUAACUUUCUGGCUAUGUGACCUCUUGGAAAGUUACUUCCCUCUCUUGGCAUUUCAUAUUGUAGUAUAACGGUAGAAAUGCGGAAACAGAUGAGGCCAGUUUGGUCAGGGGAGAGCACAGAGGUAUUAAGAAUAUAAGCUCUUCAUAGUAUUUAGUUACAUUGAACCUACAGAAGUUGCGAUUUGGCACAAAGGGAGCAUCUGUCAGCAUGUUAGGUGGUUUUGAUGAAUGAGCAGAAGGGCUAUGAAGGGGGGAUUUAAAGGGCAGGACGGUGCUAGAUUGUUAGAACAUGGAAGUAUUGGACUGGAGUGAUGGGGGAAGGUUUUGUAUGGGGAGAAAUGUAACUGUAGCAAGAUGAACAGAGCCUAGUAUCAGCUAGUUCUUCCUUCUGACCUGCCCUGAUUGUCUGUAAAUACCUCAUUUUCCAGUAAUUUUAAAUAAAGAUAAUUAAUACUCAC